AUUGAACGCUGGCGGCAUGCCUUACACAUGCAAGUCGAACGGCAGCACGGGUGCUUGCACCUGGUGGCGAGUGGCGAACGGGUGAGUAAUACAUCGGAACAUGUCCUGUAGUGGGGGAUAGCCCGGCGAAAGCCGGAUUAAUACCGCAUACGAUCUACGGAUGAAAGCGGGGGACCUUCGGGCCUCGCGCUAUAGGGUUGGCCGAUGGCUGAUUAGCUAGUUGGUGGGGUAAAGGCCUACCAAGGCGACGAUCAGUAGCUGGUCUGAGAGGACGACCAGCCACACUGGGACUGAGACACGGCCCAGACUCCUACGGGAGGCAGCAGUGGGGAAUUUUGGACAAUGGGCGAAAGCCUGAUCCAGCAAUGCCGCGUGUGUGAAGAAGGCCUUCGGGUUGUAAAGCACUUUUGUCCGGAAAGAAAUCCUUGGCCCUAAGACGGUCGGGGGAGGACGGGACCGGAAGAAUAAGCACCGGCUAACUACGG
rnacentral:rRNA from 1 species